AACGAACGCUGGCGGCAGGCUUAACACAUGCAAGUCGAACGGUAACAGGUCUUCGGAUGCUGACGAGUGGCGAACGGGUGAGUAAUACAUCGGAACGUGCCUAGUAGUGGGGGAUAACUACUAGAAAGAGUGGCUAAUACCGCAUGAGAUCUCCGGAUGAAAGCAGGGGAUCGCAAGACCUUGCGCUACUAGAGCGGCCGAUGGCAGAUUAGGUAGUUGGUGGGAUAAAAGCUUACCAAGCCGACGAUCUGUAGCUGGUCUGAGAGGACGAUCAGCCACACUGGGACUGAGACACGGCCCAGACUCCUACGGGAGGCAGCAGUGGGGAAUUUUGGACAAUGGGCGAAAGCCUGAUCCAGCAAUGCCGCGUGCAGGAUGAAGGCCUUCGGGUUGUAAACUGCUUUUGUACGGAACGAAAAGCCCCGGGUUAAUACCCUGGGGUCAUGACGGUACCGUAAGAAUAAGCACCGGCUAACUACGUGCCAGCAGCCGCAGUAA
rnacentral:rRNA from 1 species